CACUGGGGGUGGGCUUUUCGGUUUCAAAAGACUGCUUUGUUCCCAAUGUUCUGGCUCUCUCUCUGCCCCCUACUUUCAGAUCAAGAUAUGAACUCUCAGCUGUCCCUGCUGCCAUGAAUUUGCCAUGGACUAUGAUCCUCUGAAACUAUUGGCCAGAUAGUUCUGCUUGUCAAGAUGUUGCUGGGUGCUGAGACCAGCAGCUUUGCUCUCAAGCCCACAGGUGGUGCUGGCUGCCAGCUGGGAGCUCAACAGGGCUGUGAACCAAUGCAUUUGGUCUUCCUCCACAGGAGCCUUUCUUGUUGGAUGUUUUCCUCACUACAGGAGGACCUGAUGGAGAAGGGAUCCUUGUGCAUCGAUUUACUGUCUUUCUGCCCCUGCUCUCUGCCCAGAAGCACUGACCUCCGUGACUACACCAGCAGUUCCCUUGUCACCUGCCUUCCCCUGUUCUUAGGGGAUGCUUGGCAUGGGAGUAGGAGGAAGUCAAGGAGACCAGAGAGACUUCUUCCCUCACUUCCUUCAUGCUGUGGUGCUGUCAUGCUGCAGUGGCUAUCCAGUAUCCAGCCUUCAUGGCCUAAGCAGAGUAAACUUUCUUCAUCUUGUACCCAUAUGUAAGGGGACAGAAAUCACCCUAGGGCCUGUCUACACCUCUUGUUUCCCUGAACUCUGCUCCCAUCUUUGUACACAAUACCUUUAAUAAACCAC
rnacentral:lncRNA from 1 species